AGCGCAGGCGGACCGGCAAGUUGGAAGUGAAAACUAUGGGCUCAACCCAUAAAUUGCUUUCAAAACUGCUGGCCUUGAGUAGUGCAGAGGUAGGUGGAAUUCCCGGUGUAGCGGUGGAAUGCGUAGAUAUCGGGAGGAACACCAGUGGCGAAGGCGACCUACUGGGCACCAACUGACGCUGAGGCUCGAAAGCACGGGUAGCAAACA
rnacentral:rRNA from 1 species